rnacentral:lncRNA from 1 species
UUUUUUCAGACGUCAAUUUGUUUAAAGGUGGACAAGACGUAAUGAUUGGCAACAUAACACAAAUGCUCGACGACCCUAUCAAGUGCAUAAAAGAUUUGACAUCAUCAAAUGUAUGUAUUCCUACAUUAUAUUUUUUUCUUUUUGCUUAACAUGGCCCCUAGCCCAAUAGUGUUGACAUUGAAAUUUAAGCAGCAUAUUAAAAAAGGACUUGAAUUCACAACAAAAACACAAAUCGCAGUAUGACAUGGACUCAAUACCCUUUCCAUCCCUCGCUAGCUAGAAUAUUACUAAUAAAGUUAACUUCAGUUUUUGUCGCUUAAAUGUCUGAUUCUUUUCAUGAAAAAGAUCAUGUUAACAAGUAUUAAUAUAAUUGUGCAAUGAUAUCCAUUCUUUUAUUAUCUUUCUUAGUAAAACCUACAAUUUCAUGUUAAGGGUGAUUAAAAGAAAUAGUGUGUACCAACGACUCAUACUUAGGCAUCGAAGUAUUUUUUUGUACUAUUUACGAAACAACUCCAAUUGACACGGCAAUGAAGCAAGCUUUUAUAUCAAAGUUCUAUGUACCACUUAAAUAAUGAUUACACUAUUCAUAAAAUUAUAUUUUGCAGAUUAAACCUUUCGAAAGUCCGUUUGCAGGUAUGCAGUCAAGAUUUUACGUUACCAGGAGUUUUAAUUCGUGGUGUGCAAACUUGACAACAAAAUGAAUGAGUUGGAACAUAUGUAAUGCUUUGACUUUGAAAGGCUUAAAAUAACAUGUAAACAAUAAAUGAAUAUAUAUAUAU